AUUGAACGCUGGCGGCAUGCUUUACACAUGCAAGUCGAACGAGUGGCGGACGGGUGAGUAAUGUAUUGGAACGUACCUAGUGAUGGGGGAUAACUAAUCGAAAGAUUGGCUAAUACCGCAUAUUAUUCGAGCGGCCCAUCUCGGAUUAGCUAGUUGGUGGGGUAAAGGCCUACCAAGGCGACGAUCAGUAGCGGGUCUGAGAGGAUGAUCGGCAACACUGGGACUGAGACACGGCCCAGACUCCUACGGGAGGCAGCAGUGGGGAAUUUUGGACAAUGGGGGCAAGCCUGAGCCAGCCAUGCCGCGUGGCUGAAGAAGGCCUUCGGGUUGUAAAGGACUUUCGUUAGCGAAGCGGUACCUAAAGAAGAAGCACCGGCUAACUACGUGCCAGCAGCCGCGGUAAUAC
rnacentral:rRNA from 1 species